rnacentral:rRNA from 1 species
CAGUCGCCGCGGUAAUACAGAGGCCUCAAGCGUUGUUCGGAUUCAUUGGGCGUAAAGGGUGCGUAGGCGGUUCCGUAAGUCGGAUGUGAAAUCCUGGGGCUCAACCCCAGAACUGCAUUCGAUACUGCGGGGCUAGAGGACUGGAGAGGAGAGUGGAAUUCACGGUGUAGCAGUGAAAUGCGUAGAUAUCGUGAGGAAGACCAGCGGCGAAGGCGGCUCUCUGGACAGUUCCUGACGCUGAUGCACGAAGGCCAGGGGAGCAAACGGGAUUAGAUACCCGCGUAGUCCCUGUCUCUUAUAC